AUAUUAACAGAAAAGUAUUCCUGUCGUUCUGUAUCUAUUGCUGCGCGUUAGCCUUACCGAUUCUAUAUAAACAUUUCUUUCACGCCUUGUUAGAUGAGAUUCAUACAAGGAGUUUCGGUUGCAUAAUGGAAAAGAAGAUAAAAUAUAUAAUAUGAGUGAACCAACAUCAACAGCAACAGGUACGGCCACCAGGAGUCCACAAACUCCCACUACAAAUGCUACUGCGGCUACUACUACUACUGCUGGUACGGAGCUUCCACCGCCAAUACCACCCAACAAUACCAAGGGCUGGGAUUCAGACGUAACCAAAUCCUAUCCUUCACCGGCCGUUGAAUACGAGCAAGUCGUUCAGAAUGCAGAGAUGUUCAUGCAAACACUACAGGAUCUUCACAGAUAUUUGGGCACCAAGUUUAUGGUGCCUACCAUGGGAGGAAAGGCCCUGGAUCUACAUUGCCUUUUCGUGGAGGUAACGUCCCGUGGUGGUCUUGAAAAGGUAUGAAUAAUUGUAUUAUUUUACAUGCAGUUAAGGCACUUCUGACACUUCUCAUACUAUAAACCCACAAGUGGUUUGCUGAGCCAGUAAUCCUACUGAUCCCGGUUGAUAUGCCGACCUUGGUCAAUUUUCCAUCCUUGGUCUCAAGGACCUAUGGGCUAUGAACCCAUGAUAUGAAAUUAAAUAAGUAUUCUGGAUUCUCCAUAGCAUAUGAAUGAUCCAUAUGAUUUGUUGUGCGGUUAUGCAUUCUGGUCUUUUCUACAUGGUAUGAAGUGAAAGUGAUUGGCGGAAGAUUACACAACUAUACUCAACUAUGACUUGGCUAAUUGGGUGGCCACACAAAUCCUGUUCCAACAUUCUGCUCCUUCUGGGCCAUUUCCUCAAUCAGUUUGCAAAUAAUAUUGUUUUAGGCCAUUCUGCUCCUCUUUAUCCUUUGAACAUCUUCAAAUUGCACCAUGUCUGCUUCUGUAGUCUGCUUUACUGUACAUGUACGGAACUAUCUCUGUUCUCCUGUUUUCAUCUAUUGUUGCUUCCCCCAGAUUUAUUCAUAAAAGUUGGUUUCUGAUUCUAUCGUUUAUGGUCUUAGGCUUGCCUCGCAUUUAUCUCAACAUCUACUUACUAGCUAAAGAGGCGUACUCAAUGCAGGAGGCUCCCGCCACUGUAGGGUUUGGGGGAAGGUCAUGUACACAGCCUUACUUCCGCUUCAUGGAGAGGCUGUUUCCUAACUCAAACUUGAGAUUAUUAGGUCGCAAUGGAACAACCUUACCGUUGCGCAGAGGACAGGCCUUAGUGCAGCGGUAAGUUUGCUCUAUUGCAACCUAGUGGUCACAGGUUCAAACAAGGAAACAGCACCUCCACAAAAAAUGGGGGUUAAGGCUGCUUUCAUAUGCCCCUCCCCAGAUUUUGCUGUAGUGUGAACCUUGGGCACUGGGUGCAUUCUUUAUCUACUUACUAGCUAGACAAUAAUUUUAUGAUGAUCCAAAUUGCAAACAACAAGCAAGACAUGGAUUAGCUCAGAUUGCAUGAAUGUUCAAUUUCGAAACUCUGCUAUGCUGGCUUCCUGGCUGUGCAGUAAGUUGGGAUUUGGUUCCUUGUUUAAUCAUUAUUUUGUGUUGGCUGCACUUCUUUACAUGCAUAGUCAUGCCAAAGCCGCCAAAUAAGUUGACAUAGGAAUUUGUCUUGUGUGAUUCCCAGGUACAACAAAGAAUAUUAAACUAGGUGAUUUUGAGGUGGACUUCCAUCUUCCCUAUAGAUUUAAUCACUUAAAAACAAAAUAAAUAUAAAUUGGUGGUUUCCGGUUCUAGGAAGUGGCAGAAUGAAUAAAAAAAAUAUGCUACUUACCUAGGUAAGCAAUAAAUGUUAGUGGCACCCAUGGAGGCUUUCUUAUAUCUUAGGUAAGGAAAGUCUUAAGCUUCAGUGACCAAUACUUGGAACAUUUUGUUGGGAGCACUUGAUUCUUAGAUGGAUGUAAUCUUACCACAAUUUGAUAGCUGAAACUGAAAGUACUGUCAAUCAAUUGUUAGUGGUUCCCAGUGAUUGUAGUCUCUGUUGUGUUUUUUGACAUCUGUAUCUUCUUUCUCCUUCCACAAGUCCAAUGAUUGGAUGGUAGAUUUUAUAUUUCCAUCACCCCCCAAAAAAAAAAAAAAAAGAGAUAUGACAAUGACAAUCUUAAUUCUUUUUUUUUUCUUGUAGGGAAAAUUUCUUGUACCACCCCUGUAACUAACCUGAAUUUCAUCAUUUCAUGUCACACCAAACUUUUUGUGAAAUAUCAAGUACCACCCACACUUGCAUAACAAAAUUCCUUCUAGUUCCACUCCAUUAGUUGAUUCCGGUUAAGUGAUGAUGUCAGCGGGUUAGAGAUUUCCAAAUGGCCAAACCACCCUUGAAGAAGGGUAAACUUACUAAUGUAGAAGUAGGUUACGCUAGGUAAUAACUUCCAAUAUGUAAGCUCAAACCAAUUCAAAUCUGACCCUCUAAUUAGCCUUAACAGAAAUCAGAAAUAGUAGUAGAAACAGAGGAAACAAAACCCAGAAAUUUAGAAGAUCAACACUGUCCCAAGAGAACCAGGACUCACCCAGAAAAUACCGGCAGCAGCAAGAAAUAGCCCAGAAAACCAAGUUCAGCAACAGAAGACAAAUCCCAGACAGAACUGGGUUCGACCAGAACAGGGGAGCACCUGUGAUGGGAGUUUGACGGCUUCUGCAGGAGCUAAGACACUGACUGAUGGCCCUCCUUAGAUCAGCCCUUUAAUUCCUCUGCUGGGCUUCUAAGUGCUGGCCAAAAACUGGGAAGCAGACUUGAUCAAUUCUGUCCAAUACCUUAACUUCUGAGAAUUGAUGGCUGGUUCUGCAACGGAUCCUUAUUCUGCAACUUGGCUCUGUUGGACCUUCAAUCGAUACUUUAAAAAAAAUACUCUCAGGUCUCUCUCUCACAAGCACAGAUAAAGAAGGAAAUAAAGAAAAGAAAAUAGAACAGAUGGAGGGUUGAGAAGGGUGAAAGGGAAUAAUGGAAUGGGUAUCUCACCCCUCAGGUUCUGGGAAUCACACCCCUCAAUGGGUUAGGCAUCUCACCUCUCAAAUAAAGCUAUCUCAGCCAUGAAUGUAACUUAAAUUUUCGUUAAUUAAAUCUCCCCCAGUUACAAUCAGUUAGCCUCUUAAAUAGGCACAGCAGCUCCUUCAUAAUAUAAGGUUACAAAAAUAGGAAACUAACAAGAGAAGGAAAGUAACUAGGAAACUAAUCAACUAAAACAUUCCUAAAUUAAUUACUUGUCUAACAAAGAUUCUAAACACCAAAAAGGCAACACAUUCUUGAAGAAAUAUUGGGCUGGUUACUGUUCACGUGAACAGUAACUUCCUUUAUUUUUCUCCAGCUGUAUCUUUAUAUUAAGGCAAUAUAGCUCCAGACUGAAAUCAGUAGAUAUUUUCUUGAAGAUUCUAACAGUUGCUGCUGAGCUGGCCAGAAGGACCCAAAAAGGAAACCAAAUCUGGGCUUGGUUUGAUGGGGCUAGCAGCCCCUUCCUUGUGCAAGUCUGAUCUACAUCACUUACCCUUUUACCCUUUUUUGAACAGGAAGAGGAGUGUUUAAGGUUCCAGAAUCCGGAAGCCUGUUUUCUGUUUUUAAGCUUACGAUUUUGUUCCUCAUCGUGAGUAAUUUUGGAGCAGCUUCAUAGGGAAAAGAAGUUGAUUUCACCUACUGUGGCUUCAGAGGAGCUAACUUGAGCUUGGACGGCAUAGCCAAGAUCACACCCAAUGGCCUCCUCUUGCUGACUUGCAUAAAAGAUACCAAGCAACAGAAGGGCCUUGCCUUCUACACUAAACCUGAUUCACUUCCUCGACCAAUCAUCAUAUGUUGCUCUCUCCUUCUCAACCACUUUUGUCUUUGCAAUCCUUCGCCAGUACUCCAAUUUGGGUGGCUAUGAGAUUGCCUUUGUCAUCGCCAUAGUUGUCACGGCGACAAGGCGAACCAAGGCGUUAGAGGGCUGUUUAAGCGAUUAAGCGAGAAGGCGCCCGCCUUACGGCGAAUUAGGCGCAAAAAAAGACGUUACUAUUUUUUUUUUAA